rnacentral:rRNA from 1 species
AUGGCUCAGAAUGAACGCUGGCGGCGCGCCUAAUACAUGCAAGUCGAGCGAGAAGACGUAGCAAUACGUUGUAAAGCGGCGAACGGGUGAGGAAUACAUGGGUAACCUACCCUAGAGUGGGGGAAUAACUAGCCGAAAGGUUAGCGUAAUACCGCGUACGCUUCCUGGACUUCGGUUCAGGAAGGAAAGCGAUGCCGAGGGUAUCGCGCUCUUGGAUGGGCUCAUGUCCUAUCAGCUUGUUGGUGAGGUAACGGCUCACCAAGGCUUCGACGGGUAGCUGGUCUGAGAGGACGAUCAGCCACACUGGCACUGCGACACGGGCCAGACUCCUACGGGAGGCAGCAGUAAGGAAUAUUGCGCAAUGGGCGAAAGCCUGACGCAGCCGACGCCGCGUGGGGGAUGAAGGUCUUCGGAUUGUAAACCCCUUUCGGGAGGGAAGAUGGAAUGGGGUAACCCAUUCGGACGGUACCUCCAGAAGCAGCCACGGCUAACUUCGUGCCAGCCGCUGC